rnacentral:rRNA from 1 species
GACGAACGCUGGCGGCGUGCUUAACACAUGCCAGUCGAACGGAAAGGCCCUGCUUUUGUGGGGUGCUCGAGUGGCGAACGGGUGAGUAACACGUGAGUAACCUGCCCUUGACUUUGGGAUAACUUCAGGAAACUGGGGCUAAUACCGGAUAGGAGCUCCUGCUGCAUGGUGGGGGUUGGAAAGUUUCGGCGGUUGGGGAUGGACUCGCGGCUUAUCAGCUUGUUGGUGGGGUAGUGGCUUACCAAGGCUUUGACGGGUAGCCGGCCUGAGAGGGUGACCGGCCACAUUGGGACUGAGAUACGGCCCAGACUCCUACGGGAGGCAGCAGUGGGGAAUAUUGCACAAUGGGCGGAAGCCUGAUGCAGCAACGCCGCGUGCGGGAUGACGGCCUUCGGGUUGUAAACCUCUUUCGCCUGUGACGAAGCGUGAGUGACGGUAAUGGGUAAAGAAGCACCGGCUAACUACGUG